rnacentral:rRNA from 1 species
UACGUAGGGCGCAAGCGUUGUCCGGAAUUAUUGGGCGUAAAGAGCUCGUAGGCGGCUUGUCGCGUCUGCUGUGAAAUCCCGGGGCUUAACCCCGGGCGUGCAGUGGAUACGGGCAGGCUAGAGGCAGGCAGGGGAGAACGGAAUUCCCGGUGUAGCGGUGAAAUGCGCAGAUAUCAGGAGGAACACCGGUGGCGAAGGCGGGUCUCUGGGCCGAUACUGACGCUGAGGAGCGAAAGCGUGGGGAGCGAACAGG